AUGUGUUGAGAGUGUGUUCUUUUUUAAUUAGAAAACCGCCGCAUGUUGGCGAUUUCUGCUGAGCUGCGAGAGUAUAAUCAGUAGCGGCAACGUUUUGCAAGAUGUCGGACGCAGACUGGGAAAAGGAAGAUUUUGAUUUCCAACACGUUGUCAGCGACAAAUGGGAAGGAGAAGACGAAGACGACGACGUCAAAGAUAAUUGGGAGGAUGAUGAUGAAAAGAAAGAUGUAAAACCUGAGGAAACGGCAACUAGUGUUAGAGCUUUUCAAAUAAAGAAAAAACGACCCAUAGCUGAAAUCAUAGCUGAAAAAGAAGCUCAACAAGAAAAAUUGAAAGAUGAAGAAUCCAGAAGUGAAGAAGUUGAAUCGCCAGUAGAUCCAAAUGCUGAAAAACUUCGACGGAGGCAGCUUCAAGAAGAAUCUGACCUUAAAUUAGCAAAAGAGGCUUUUGGUUUAGUAGAGGGAGCUGGUAUUGACCAAAUGAGUCCAGAAUCAGAAGAAGAUUUUAUAAAAUUUGAAGAAGCAUUAAAAGAAAAGAUAACAACAUUUGAGAAAUCACCACACUAUACAGCAUUUUUAGACAAGCUAUUUACAGACCUUAUUAUUAAUGUUGAAUCUGAGGAAAUUAGAAAAAUUAAUGCAUCACUUAGCAGUAUGUACCAUGAAAAACUGAAACAACAGAAGGCAUGUGUUGGAUGAGAUUUCUUGUGGCAGUACUAUAGGUGCCCUUUCUGACGCCAACCCUUGUGUUCAAGAAAUUGAGAAAAAGAAGAAAAAGAAAACUAAAGCAUCUAUAAAGUUUGGUAAAGAAAAUGACUUAGAUGAUAUACGCUAUGAUGAUUUUGCAGAAGACUUUAUGUAAGAAAUAUCUGAUGUGUGGCUGCCCCUGGUCUGCUGGCUGUGGCUAUAGAUUGCUACUUAAUAAUUAAUUUGAUACUGUCAGCAUGAUAGAAAGUUUAAAACGGUGGUGGUGGUGCUUGUGGUGGUGUCUGACUUUUGUAUUCUUCCACAUUGGCGUCACCUUCACCGCUGUUUGAUGGAGCAUGCAAACUGGAACAAUAAAUGAAAUUGUACAUUUAAAUAGGUGGGUUAAAUAAAUCACGAUGCUUUUACAUGGUGGAUGACAUCUCAAUGGCACUUAACUCAUUGGUCUAUCUGCCUUGGAUGACUUCUCUACUGACUUUGGAACCAUUUGUAAAAGAAAGAAAUCAAUUUACUAUUAUGUAGAGAAUCUUAAAGAAGACCGGCUUAAUGGUGCCAUUGCUGACAAACAUUAUCUCAAUUCCAGCUCUCUUAAUUUCUUCCUCUUUCUUUUCCCCCUCCUCCUCCUCCUAUCUCUAUUAUAAAAAUUAUUUAUAAUAUAAAUAUUCUAUUAAUAAAUAUUCUCUACGUA